GAUGAACGCUGGCGGCGUGCCUAAUACAUGCAAGUCGAGCGAACAGACGAGGAGCUUGCUCCUCUGACGUUAGCGGCGGACGGGUGAGUAACACGUGGAUAACCUACCUAUAAGACUGGGAUAACUUCGGGAAACCGGAGCUAAUACCGGAUAAUAUAUUGAACCUCAUGGUUCAAUAGUGAAAGACGGUUUUGCUGUCACUUAUAGAUGGAUCCGCGCCGCAUUAGCUAGUUGGUAAGGUAACGGCUUACCAAGGCAACGAUGCGUAGCCGACCUGAGAGGGUGAUCGGCCACACUGGAACUGAGACACGGUCCAGACUCCUACGGGAGGCAGCAGUAGGGAAUCUUCCGCAAAGGGCGAAAGCCUGACGGAGCAACGCCGCGUGAGUGAUGAAGGUCUUCGGAUCGUAAAACUCUGUUAUUAGGGAAGAACAAAUGUGUAAGUAACUAUGCACGUCUUGACGGUACCUAAUCAGAAAGCCACGGCUAACUACGUG
rnacentral:rRNA from 1 species